rnacentral:tRNA from 1 species
GGAGAGAUGGCUGAGUUGGUCGAAGGCGCACGACUGGAAAUCGUGUAUACCUGCAAAAACGGGUAUCGAGGGUUCGAAUCCCUCUCUCUCCGCCA